rnacentral:lncRNA from 1 species
UCUUUCUCUGUCUGACUUAUUUCACGUUGCAUAAUACCCUCAAAAACAUAAUCUUUUAAAAUUGUAAACUUCUAAAGAAUAUGUUUUAUACUUCUAAAAAUUUUUCCAAAAAUCCCCUACAGGAAGGGACGCAAUGAGUGUGAAGUGAAAGAACUCUAAAUGUCUUGAGAGGUCAGUGUCCCACUCUGGCCCAUUCUCAGUAUUAUUAGUUUUACCAGGAAACAGGGGGAGUCUGUCUUGAAGUGAAACAGGGCCUCACCCAGGCAAGAGCAUUGCUAGACCACAGGCCUUGCUCUUAAACCGCAGCUCUGCACCCCAGCCACGCGUGAGGUGGGGGCGGAGCUCUUGCUUCAUUCCUAUGAUCAACAGGUUCUCACCUUUGCAGUUCUUCAGACUUUUUUUAUAUAGAUGUGCACGUAUGUUCAGUCUUUUUUGGUGAUGGCAUUAUAGACAGGGAGUAUUUCUCUUCAGAAUCUAUUUAAAACUAGGUAUUUCAGCUGUUUGAGUGAAUUAAGAUUAUUAAGUACUACAUAAAAUAUAUUUUGGUUGGCUGAGCCUAAUUUUAGACCGUGAACACAGACAGCCAUCAGCACAGCUACCACCCCCACAGACAGCGUGGCAUCUGCUUGCCUCUACUGAUGUGAUCGGGAACUUUGGUUCUGUGACCUGGAGUGGAGACCCAAGGGUAGCUGCUGGGAUGGCUGAGAACCAAAAAGCUCCGGCACUGACUCUUUCCAAGUGACCCUGCGGGAAGCAGACCAGAAGGAGCCAGAGCAGGAGGGAGAGGACCGGGUGGAUCCGCGUGGUUGCGGCAGCUGGGGUGGAAGCACGAAUGACACAUCCUGUUGGGGACGCCCUGAAAUAGCUGGAGGACACGGAGGUCAAGCUGAGAUCCCGUCGUUACCUUUGUAAUUUGGACAUCAAAAGGACACGUAGCCUGAUUUUACAUAGUCUGGGAGAACUGGACAUGCUGUAACUAAACUAUAAUUGCAGUUAAUGGGCUGCUUUAUAAGUAACCUAAUUUCACAGAGUAAUUGGUGGCUUACAAUAAAAUGAGAUUGGUGACUUAAAAUAAAGAGAUU